AACGAACGCUGGCGGCAUGCCUAACACAUGCAAGUCGAACGAGACCUUCGGGUCUAGUGGCGCACGGGUGCGUAACGCGUGGGAACCUGCCCUUAGGUUCGGAAUAACUCCCCGAAAGGGGUGCUAAUACCGGAUAAUGUCUUCGGACCAAAGAUUUAUCGCCUUUGGAUGGGCCCGCGUUGGAUUAGCUAGUUGGUAGGGUAAAAGCCUACCAAGGCGACGAUCCAAAGCUGGUCUGAGAGGAUGAUCAGCCACACUGGGACUGAGACACGGCCCAGACUCCUACGGGAGGCAGCAGUGGGGAAUAUUGGACAAUGGGCGAAAGCCUGAUCCAGCAAUGCCGCGUGAGUGAUGAAGGCCUUAGGGUUGUAAAGCUCUUUUACCCGGGAUGAUAAUGACAGUACCGGGAGAAUAAGCGCCGGCUAACUCCGUG
rnacentral:rRNA from 1 species